AAUCGUCGGAUGAAAAUCUGAGGUGCCCGACGCACAACAUUUUGAACGUGCCACGGAGGAUCAAGGCAAAAAACGAGAGCAAAAAAGGUGCACGCUGAAGGCGGAAAUGAAGCAUGAUCUGGCUUGCAUCUGGUGCAUGAAGAAAUUGCUGGCACGUUAGUUGCAGUCUACCUCCACCAACAGGGUGGAAAACAAAGGUCGCCAUUCCGAUUAGCUGCU